UGCUCUCGAUGGUAGUGUAUUGGACUACCAUAGGCGAGUCACGGUAACGGAGAAUUAGGGUUCGAUUCCGAGAAGGAGCCUGAGAAACGGCUACUACAUCUACGGAAGGCAGCAGGCGCGUAAAUUACCCAAUCCUAAAUCGGGGAGGUAGUGACAAGAUAUAACAACGCGACUAAAAAUCGCGAUUGUAGUGAGGGUAUUCUAAACAUAGCUUCGAGUACGAUUGGAGGGCAAGUCUGGUGCCAGCAGCCGCGGUAAUUCCAGCUCCAAUAGCGUAUAUUAAAGUUGUUGCAGUUAAAAAGCUCGUAGUUGGACUUCAAGAAGCGCAUCUGGGCAACCAGUUUGCCUUCUACCAGCCCUAGGCUGUUACUGUGAGAAAAUUAGAGUGUUUCAAGCAGGCUUUUGCAGGAAUACAUUAGCAUGGAAUAACGAAUGUGUCUACAAUUUGGUUGAUUGUAGGUUACAAUUAAUAGGGACAGUUGGG
rnacentral:rRNA from 1 species